CUAGCUACGGCAGUACAUAUUCUAAAAUUGAAACGAUAUAGAGAAGAUUAGCAUGGCCCCUACACAAGGUUGACAUGCAAAUUCGUGAAACAUUCCAUAUUUUC